UGUGCGGGUAGAAUAGUAACUCAGUGAGUCUGUUUACUAUUGGUUAAGCGGGCUGCAGAAACAGAUUCGCAAUGGAGAGCUGAAGGCUCACAAUGCAGAGCUGCAGGCUCAUAAUGGAGAGUCGCAGGCUCAUAAUGGAGAGCUGCUUGCUCGGAGAAAAGAAAAAGACAGGAGUGCGCGCAGGCCAAAGCAACAGAAGGUAACUUUCUCUCGGUCUGCUGCUUGAACCCCGAGAAGUUGAGAGAUUCGUGGCAGAGUGCUGAAGAUAUGCAGCCUCUGUGGAAUCGCUGGCUUUUAGAAAGCCAAAUCCCCGUUAACACACCAAUGACAAGGUACUAACUUUAGUAAGGCUGCCUCACAUUUUGACAGAACAUCAAUCCUCUGAAAAUGGCGUGCAUAAACCUAACUGAAUUGGAAAUAUCUGUGGUUUGCAUGUGUGAAGUCUUCAACACGAACAAAAAUGAAAAUGGAAAAAUGGACAAGGAGACGUUUUUAAGAGUGGUGAAGGAAGAACUGCCUUACUUUGAGAAAGCAGCAGCUCAGAACAAUUGCGACAUAUUCAGCAAUGUGGACCUUGACAACGAUGGGUUCGUGGACUUCGAAGAGUUCGCCAAAAUGGUCUGCUGUUGUGCUUGUGCCAGCAAUGUCGAUAUGGAGGAAGCCUGCAUAAACAUGAGAAGAAAUAAAACUGAUGACCUGUAAUGAACAUGGCAAACACUUUUUCUGUACUUCGGACCAAUGUGAUUUCACAUGACAAUAGUAAAAGUGUUGUUGUAGGUUUGAUACAAUUUCCAGUACUUCCCACCAUUAUAUAAACAACACUUUUCAUAUAUUAAAUGCUCUGUUUAGUCCCUGUGCUGAAUCAAUACUGAUCCAUAGCCAGAAGCGACAACAUUAGGGAGUGUGAUGUAAUGCCAGCUUGUACUAAAAGGCAGGUUGAUAUUGCAAAUAGUGGGGAUGAUAAAUAUAAGAAGAAUUCCACGCAAUUAAAAAAGCUGUUAUUUUUUAUCACGAGAGACCCCAACACUUUACAGAAUUCUUCCAGGAGAUCAUUUAGGGUUUCAUUGUGUAAUAUAUAUAUAUAUAUAUAUAUAUAUAUAUCCAGCAUAGAAGAAGUGUAUGGGAGGGGAUGAGGAUGCAUAACUAGUGUUAACUUUGCAUAAUUAAACAAUACAAAAGUGGUGCAAAGUAAUUUACUACAUUUUAUAAAGAAUUCUGCUUCAUUUGAAUAUUCUUUCUGUGACUCGGAAAUGUUGUUUAUUACAACAAUAGUACAAAAUAACAUAAUAGAAUAAUGACAUAUCUAUUUCAAACAUUCUACAAAUUGAGUGCUCUCACUAUUAAUAUUAUAAAUAUGCUAAAUAAGUAGAGGAACUGAA